AACACUUCAUGCGGAGCCUCGCCACUUCCUGAAAGAAGGAAAAGAACCCGGCAUUCAUGGAGACUGGCCAUCAUUCCUCCAACCCAGGACAGGCACGGGAGAAGUAUGGGCACCAAGAAUGGAGGGAAGUAUGUUGUAGAUGCUAGAUACUAUGUCAGCAGAAACACCAUACAGGUUCUGUACUUAUACAGAGACCCUGUCCCUUAGUUUGAGCUAUUCUUGCUCUAAAGCAGUGGUUCUCAAACUUCCUUUCAUACAGUUCUUCAUGUUCCGAUAAUUCUCAACCAUAAAAUUAUUUGUGUUACUACUUUACAACUUUAAUUUUGCUACUCUUAUGAAUUGUAAUAUAAAUACCUAUAUUUUCUCAUGGUCGUAACUAACCCGUGUGAAAGCAUCACUUGACCCCAAAGGUGUCACAACCCACAAUUUUUGAGAACCACUGCUCUAAAGGAAGAAUGUAACACAAAGCUUCCAUCCCUGGAUUUCAGUACAUACCGUUCCCUCUGGCUCGAUUAUAUUAACUCACUUAUAUUGUAAGGCUGGAAGAUGAUUCAAUCAGCAAAUCACCUGUUGCACAGGAAUGAGGACCCGAGUUCAGAUCCAAGCACCCAUGAACAAAACCUAGGCACAGUAUCAGCUAUCUGCAACCCCAGGGCUGCAGAGACUGAGGAAAGAAAUAUUUAAGGUUUGUAGUCCAGUUAUUUAUACUGUCCCUUGCAGCCUUUCUAUGAAUAUAAAUUAUUUGAUACUAAAGU
rnacentral:lncRNA from 1 species